rnacentral:rRNA from 1 species
CACGUAGGGCGCAAGCGUUGUCCGGAAUUAUUGGGCGUAAAGAGCUUGUAGGCGGUUUGUCGCGUCUGCUGUGAAAUUUCGGGGCUCAACCCCGAACUUGCAGUGGGUACGGGCAGACUAGAGUGUGGUAGGGGAGACUGGAAUUCCUGGUGUAGCGGUGAAAUGCGCAGAUAUCAGGAGGAACACCGAUGGCGAAGGCAGGUCUCUGGGCCAUAACUGACGCUGAGGAGCGAAAGCGUGGGGAGCGAACAGG